rnacentral:tRNA from 1 species
GGUGAGGUGGCAGAACGGUCAUGCGUGAGCCUGCAAAGCUUAUCCAAGGGGGUUCGACUCCCUCUCUCACCU